rnacentral:rRNA from 1 species
GACGAACGCUGGCGGCGUGCCUAACACAUGCAAGUCGAGCGGAGAUAGACUGAUGGUAACUGAAGCUUAUCUUAGCGGCGGACGGGUGAGUAACACGUGGGCAACCUGCCUUGGAGUGGGGGAUAACACCGGGAAAUCGGUGCUAAUACCGCAUAACAUACACAAACUGCAUGGUAAGUGUAUCAAAGGAGUAAUCCGCUUUAAGAUGGGCCCGCGGCUGAUUAGCUAGUUGGUAAGGUAACGGCUUACCAAGGCGACGAUCAGUAGCCGACCUGAGAGGGUGACCGGCCACACUGGAACUGAGACACGGUCCAGACUCCUACGGGAGGCAGCAGUGGGGAAUAUUGCGCAAUGGGGGGAACCCUGACGCAGCAACGCCGCGUGGAGGAAGAAGGUCUUCGGAUUGUAAACUCCUGUCUUCUGGGACGAAGUAUGACGGUACCAGAGGAGGAAGCCACGGCUAACUACGUG